rnacentral:rRNA from 1 species
ACUCAAAGGAAUUGACGGGGGCCCGCACAAGCGGUGGAGCAUGUGGUUUAAUUCGAGGCAACGCGAAGAACCUUACCCGGUUUUGACAUCCACGGGAGGCUUCAGAGAUGGAGCUGUGCCGGCGUAAGCUGGAGCCGUGAGACAGGUGCUGCAUGGCUGUCGUCAGCUCGUGUCGUGAGAUGUUGGGUUAAGUCCCGCAACGAGCGCAACCCUUGCCUUCAGUUACCAUCAUUAAGUUGGGGACUCUGGAGGGACCGCUGCGGUAACAACGCAGAGGAAGAUGGGGACGACGUCAAGUCAUCAUGGUCCUUAUGGCCGGGGCUACACACGUGCUACAAUGGCAGUUACAGAGGGAUGCGAUUCAGUAAUGAGGAGCGAAACUCAGAAAAGCUGCCGCAGUUCGGAUUGAGGUCUGCAACUCGGCCUCAUGAAGUCGGAAUCGCUAGUAAUCGCGCAACAUCAUGGCGCGGUGAAUACGUUCCCGGGCCUUGUACACACCGCCCGU